rnacentral:rRNA from 1 species
UACGGGGGGGUAAGCGUUGUUCGGAAUUACUGGGCGUAAAGGCUCGUAGGCGGCCAACUAAGUCAGACGUGAAAUCCCUCAGCUUAACUGGGGAACUGCGUCUGAUACUGGAUGGCUUGGAUUCGGGAGAGGAAUGCGGAAUCCAGGUGUAGCGGUGAAAGUGCGUAGAUAUCAGGAGGAACACCGGUGGCGAAGGCGGGUCUCUGGGCCGUAACUGACGCUGAGGAGCGAAAGCGUGGGGAGCGAACAGG